CUGCCUCGUCCUUACACAGGAGUGCAGAGUCUGUGUGUAUACUCUCUCUCUCAGGAGGCCUGUCAAUCAGGGCUACCCGAUAUCCCUGCCAGCCCACAGAGUGAAGUGAAUACCAGUUCCCACCCUGCUUCAGAGAUAGUCUGUGUGAAAGGAGCUGCGAUCUCUGGAAGCAGUGCACUACAUCAACUUCCUUCCUUGGUGACCAGAAACAUUGAGUGUUGGUGUGACACAGAGCUUAGUCUGGGGACACCGACUGAGCCCCUGACCCUGUGACAAUGUGUUCUCAUUUCAGCCACCUGGGGGUCAGAGAUGCCUGCUUUAGUCAGGCACAGUGGGCUCGGUCUGGUGUCCCAAUCUGCCCACUGCCUUGUGAUUUAGUAAUAAUCCCAGGAGCUUGUUUGUCCUUAAAUCCGAACGUCAUAGCCUAUGCUUCAGUUUUUUUUUUUUUUUUUUUUACUGUGCGCUUUUAUUUUAAAAGUUAACUACUUUUUAUAAUCCUUGCACUUCGCAGUUUGUGAAAACACAGAAAUGAUGUUGAAUAUGUUUUUAUUUAGAACUCACUCAGCACUGUAGCCCUGCAGAUGGUUCUAAAGAAGGAGGAGGGAGAGCAGGUAAAGAUUUGGCACGAGCAAGCUCAGUGCUGAUACAUUUAUGCCUUUGCCUUUAAAACUUUCGGGUGGAAGAACUGAACAAUGCUCCCUUGGAUACUUUGUUACUGGGCUUGGUUGAGUUUGCCUUGCUGCUGACUGUUGAGUGGUUUCCAUCCUGGGUUUAGUACACGUGUUUGCUUUUCACUUUCAUCAGUUUGGGAACACAACAGGAAAUAUAUAGUGACUGCUAGCUGCCACUUGACAUAGCCAUAUUCACCCAUUCCUACAGGAAGCCCAUGAGAUGAAAAAGAGGGUCCAUUCCGAAGAGCCCAGGGUGCUCAGUGUUUCCGUAGGGCUGCUUGGUGCUUUCCAUAGCGUGUCACUGGCAAAGCAAAGGAAAAUGUGAUUUGUUGUAUCACUUCAGGGUGGGAUGUUUCUCUGUCCCUCCAGUGUUUUCUUACCUAGUUAUUUUUUAUGGAAAAGGAUAAUUCUCGAAUUAUACUCUGUUAUGACUAACACUUUUCUUCGUUUGAAAGAUUGUACUGAGUCCAUAGUUUGGAGUAUGGCAUUCACACACACACACACACACACACACACACACACACACACACACACACACACACACACACAUCAGCAUUGUCGCAUAUCCAUAACAGUGUUUGCGCUUCUGACACCUGUGAACCACGGAGCUGUGUUCAUUUUGUCUUUUUGGACGAUGGAAGGAAAUGUGUUCAAAUAAAAUAGCUCUCAAUCA
rnacentral:lncRNA from 1 species